rnacentral:rRNA from 1 species
UACGUAGGGUCCGAGCGUUGUCCGGAAUUAUUGGGCGUAAAGGGCUCGUAGGCGGUUUGUCGCGUCGGGAGUGAAAACACGGGGCUUAACCCCGUGCCUGCUUCCGAUACGGGCAGACUAGAGGUAUGCAGGGGAGAACGGAAUUCCUGGUGUAGCGGUGAAAUGCGCAGAUAUCGGGAAGAACACCCGUGGCGAAGGCGGCUCUCUGGGACGGUACUGACGCUGAGACGCGAAAGCGUGGGGAGCGAACAGG